AAAUUGAAGAGUUUGAUCAUGGCUCAGAUUGAACGCUGGCGGCAGGCCUAACACAUGCAAGUCGAGCGGAAACGAGUUAUCUGAACCUUCGGGGAACGAUAACGGCGUCGAGCGGCGGACGGGUGAGUAAUGCCUAGGAAAUUGCCCUGAUGUGGGGGAUAACCAUUGGAAACGAUGGCUAAUACCGCAUGAUGCCUACGGGCCAAAGAGGGGGACCUU
rnacentral:rRNA from 2 species